GUGGUGCAGAUACUUAAUAAAAUUGUGAAUAACUAUUGGAGGGGGUUGUGGAUUAGUUAUAGUGCCGCUCCAAGACAAGUGAAGGAUUUGUGGUGGAACGAGUUCAAGUUCAAAUGGGAGGAAUCGGAAGAGGAGGAAAUUAGAAGAAUUUUUAAGAAAAAAGCUAGUGAUCAUGUUCGCAAUGUGAUGAAUAGAGCAAAGACAUAAAAUGUCAAGCCGGAUUUUAUCAUCGGUGACGAUUGGGAGGAAAUAAAGACAAGUUGGGAAAUUGAAAAAAAUAAGGGAAGAAGUGAACAGAAUAAGAAGAAUCGAACUUCUUGUUCUACUGAAGGGUCUACGACGUAUACUGGGGGCUCCAUUAACGUUGCGGAGCAUAGAAAAAGGAUGGUAAGUUCUGAUAAAUAUGUGGUAAGUUAAUUUAAUUUGAUUGCUCAUUUGUAUUUCAAUUUUGUAGGCACAUGAAUUAGGAAUGGAGCCGACGUAUUUCGCUACAUUUGAACGAACAUUUCAAAAAAAAAAAAAAAAGAUAAGACAUGGACUAACAACCGAGUGAAAUGUAUUAAGGUAUGUAAGGUUAUAUACUUUUGACUUUAUGGAAACACGGUUUGAAAACCAUGAAUGCAUUCAAUGUUUAUGGUAGUUAGAUAUAUGUAGUUAUUUUAUUUUCAUAUCUAUUUUGUUGAUGUA